CCCUAGCCCAGAUGGCAGCGGAAAUCCUUGUAUGCCGGUGUUCGGCAUAUAAGAUUGUAACAAACAGCUGGAAAAAGC
rnacentral:sRNA from 1 species